UAUAAUCCCUAAGGAGUGGAGGAAUGGACUGAACAUAGUCAAACUGUCAUAAUACCCUCUCUGGUAGGUGUCUAACAAUAUAUGGACCCCAUAUAAUAUGUCCAAAAAAUAGUUAAAUCUGCUCAAAUUCUUUGAAAGCACAAUGAUCACCAUAAGGUAUCCAACAAACAGCAUUAGUCGUCAACUUAUCCAACCGCUUAUGAUAGGUAGUCACUGGUAAUACCUUCCCACACUUCCAG
rnacentral:lncRNA from 1 species